AUGGAACGGCUCCAAGGAGGGCCAAAAGAAAGGCCACUGAUUUGUGUUCCUGAUCUCAACUCUUCCGUCUCUCCAAUUUCGGCUUCUGAGAACUCCAACCUCCGUGUUCACUGGCUCCAUCUACUGGAAAGUCAGGCAGGACGGAGCUACAGCUGAAGUAGAGACCCAGGUCUGGAGAUGUUUUCCCAGCUUCUCCACCCAGUGCAGGUGAGCAGCCCCAUUUUAGCUACGCUCUUCCCAAAGUGGCUGCCACAAA
rnacentral:lncRNA from 1 species